rnacentral:lncRNA from 1 species
AUGCCUGAACUCAUAGGCUCAUCUGCAUCUGUGGGAUGUGGUCGAGAAGCUGGGAAGAAGAUGCCGCCAGCAGCAGUUCGGUACCCAAGCAGACCAAUUACCAAUACUGUAAUAAUGAUGAUCACAGUAGAAAUAAUAACAACAAUGAUGAUUGUUGGUGAUGAUAAUGGUGAUGAUGAUGCACAGUGUAUAGAGAUCCAUCUUCAAAAUCAGGAAGACCUAGGUUGAAGAUCUCUGAGGUAUUGGCUACAGUGCCAGCUAGAUGGCGUAAUGGAGAGAGUGUCAGACUGAAGUCAAGAAGACUCAUCUCUGGAGUUUACAUCUGACCUUAGACACUUAGUAGUUGUGUGACCCUGGAUAAGUCACUUACUCCUGUUUGCCUCAGUUUCCUCAUCUGUAAAAAUGAGCUGAAGGAAAUGGCACUCCAGUAUCUUUACCAAGAAAAUCCCAAAUGGUGUCAUAGCGUCAGACAUGAUGGAAAUGACUGAACAACAACACUUCCCCAUGCCUAGUACAUUGUUGGUACUUAAUAAAUAUUUAUUGAAUUGAAUUUUACA